CCAAAGUUUGGGAGUAUUUGACUUCCAGGGCCGACUCUAGGCACCAGCGUUCCAAGCAUGUGAUUGGGGCGGCACUUCUCAAGGGGCAGCAUU